GAGGAGCAGUUUCUCCAAAGGAGGUGUGGAAAAACAAGCACAAAAAGAGCACUCCCAGAAAGGACCGACAGCAAACAGCCUUGGCAGCAGACAAAUUAUUGUAAAACUACAGCAACGUGUCCAAAAUCCAGCAGCAUCACAACGGACACACAAGGGCCAGAGAGGGAACUCAAAGAAAAGGCAGAUUAACAAGAGCAGUGAAGGAGCUGGAAACAUUUACUCUGACACUGCUGUUAUUUGGCCCAGACCCCCACUGGGCCUGCAGCAGUAACCAAGAUUUGCUUUUACACAAAUCUCACUUUUCAGAUGCUCACUUGAGGAAUUACCCCUCGUAACCCUACUUUCAGUGUGACUGCUAAUCUCAAGCAGCAUCUGAGGACGGCUCCUGUGGAUGACGUGCUAUGUUUGUUUCAACUCGCCUUCUGCUUCUCAACUGGUCUGCUCACUUCUCAGAGUUUGUCUGCAAUUCUGCUCAGUCAGCCCGGGCUCAGCUGAGUGGGAAAAACACAGUCUCACAGAAUGGAUCCCAAAGAAGAGAUGCUGAACAUUCUGAACAAAGGUUGGGCCAAGCUGCAGAGUCUACAUGAUGCCAGUCCUAUAGAGCAGGGGGCUUUCUUCGUCCUCUUAAUAUUCAUCUUGGUCAUCGUGCUCAUGGCAGUGCCGACCUGUGUGACCUGCUGCUGCUGUUGUUGCUGUCGUACCACCAAGAACAAGCGAGCCGCCAUGUGAAGAAAUGUGCU